AAAUAUAUAAAAAAAGAACAAGUAAAGGUAAAGAAACAAAAAUGGAAAAGAAUGCGGAUCAAGGUGAUCUAAAUAAGAUUACAGAGAUAGAAGGAAAUGGUAGAAAAAAUAGAACAAGUAAGACCAAACAACCCAAAAAUGAAAUGAACGUAAAUCAAAGUAAAUAAAUAACAAUGAAGAGAUGGAAGGAACGUAUAGGAAAAAUAGAACAAGUAAAAUUAAAGAAGCCAAAAUUGAAAAGUAUGUAGAUCCUGAUGAGCAUAAAGGAGAUAAACAUAAUGAAUUGGCCAAAAUCAGUAAAAAUAAAAUUGGUAGUAAAGAUAAGGAUAACCAUGACGAAAGUUACCAAGCAACAUCAACGAAGAAAAAUUAGAAGUUUUUGUCAAAAAGGAUCGAGUUUACGAUAAGGAAACUCAAAACGAAAAAGACAAGCGAGAAAGAACUUCAUUAAGUCUCGUCAGCAAAAACAAUGCAAAAUCGAAAUUUAAGCCCAGUUCCGGGAAUGGUGGGCGAUUUCUUGAAAGUGAAGGCACCUUUUUUAGGAAAGGCUCUAAGAACAAAAAAAAAUCAAAUUGUUUGCUAAUAGAAAGCUUCAGAAUUCAAAAGGGAUCAUAGGCAAGUCGCGCGAGUUGCAAUCGUGUCGAUAUAUACGACCGUGCGAUAUUCUGCGUGUCAAGUUGGAGGAGCGGGAUCUUUCCAGAUGUAUUGCCUGCUGUUCGCCGUGCCGACCAUAUAUACCAUGCAGUUCCUACCAAUGUGGCUUACCUUGUGUCUAGUAGGAUAGCAAAACUUUUCUUCUUCGAAAAAAAUGUGUACUCAAAAUUUACUUACCUAAGAGAUUAGAUCAAAAUAUCCCCGUCUAUACUUAUACAUUGGUGUAUAAAAACAAAAGGAAACAAACAAAUUAUAAGUGUUUAAAUAAUA